rnacentral:rRNA from 1 species
CUUGGUCAUUUAGAGGAAGUAAAAGUCGUAACAAGGUCUCCGUAGGUGAACCUGCGGAGGGAUCAUUACAAGUGACCCCCGGAUUACCUCCGGGAUGUUCAUAACCCUUUGUUGUCCGACUCUGUUGCCUCCGGGGCGACCCUGCCUUCUGGCGGGGGCCCCGGGUGGACAAAUUCAAACUCUUGCGUAACUUUGCAGUCUGAGUAAAUUUAAUUAAUAAAUUAAAACUUUCAACAACGGAUCUCUUGGUUCUGGCAUCGAUGAAGAACGCAGCGAAAUGCGAUAAGUAAUGUGAAUUGCAGAAUUCAGUGAAUCAUCGAAUCUUUGAACGCACAUUGCGCCCCCUGGUAUUCCGGGGGGCAUGCCUGUUCGAGCGUCAUUUCACCACUCAAGCCUCGCUUGGUAUUGGGCGACGCGGUCCGCCGCGCGCCUCAAAUCGACCGGCUGGGUCUUCUGUCCCCUCAGCGUUGUGGAAACUAUUCGCUAAAGGGUGCUCGGGAGGCUACGCCGUUAAACAACCCCAUUUCUAAGGUUGACCUCGGAUCAGGUAGGGAUACCCGCUGAACUUAAGCAUAUCAAUAAGCGGAGGA